rnacentral:rRNA from 1 species
AGUGAACGCUGGCGGUAGGCCUAACACAUGCAAGUCGAACGGCAGCACAGUAAGAGCUUGCUCUUACGGGUGGCGAGUGGCGGACGGGUGAGGAAUACAUCGGAAUCUACUUUUUCGUGGGGGAUAACGUAGGGAAACUCACGCUAAUACCGCAUACGACCUACGGGUGAAAGCAGGGGAUCUUCGGACCUUGCGCGAUUGAAUGAGCCGAUGUCGGAUUAGCUAGUUGGCGGGGUAAAGACCCACCAAGGCGACGAUCCGUAGCUGGUCUGAGAGGAUGAUCAGCCACACUGGAACUGAGACACGGUCCAGACUCCUACGGGAGGCAGCAGUGGGGAAUAUUGGACAAUGGGCGCAAGCCUGAUCCAGCCAUACCGCGUGGGUGAAGAAGGCCUUCGGGUUGUAAAGCCCUUUUGUUGGGAAAGAAAAGCAGCAGGUUAAUACCCCGCCGUUCUGACGGUACCCAAAGAAUAAGCACCGGCGAACUUCG